rnacentral:snoRNA from 1 species
GGCAAAAUGAUGAAUACUCGUAUGUUAGCACAUCCCUGUCUUAAGGGCAACGUGUGGAUAAUAGUAGUUUAGUCUGAUUUUGUC